CAGUUGCAUGAUGAGUAUCAUUAGUUUCAUAUUUGAAUCUCUUGAUGACUGAACCAUCUAUUUUUAUAUUUAAACAUGUUAAAUGCACCAUGAAAUUUGUGAUCAAAGCUUUAUUUUGAGUAAGUACCGAGUGCAGACCAUAUAAGCCAUGAAAUGCUUAGGUAAAAGCUUGGUUGCACCUUGAGAAAACUCCAAAAUCACUGGUUCUGC
rnacentral:lncRNA from 1 species